rnacentral:rRNA from 1 species
GGAUCCAGACUUUGAUCCUGGCUCAGAUUGAACGCUGGCGGCGUGCCUAACACAUGCAAGUCGAACGCGAAAGUUUCUUCGGAAAUGAGUAGAGUGGCGCACGGGUGAGUAACGCGUGGAUUAUCUACCUACUGGUACGGGACAACAGUUGGAAACGACUGCUAAUACCGUAUACGCUGGUAACGGGAAAGGGGGCCUCUUCUUGAAAGCUCUCGCCAGUAGAUGAGUCCGCGUUUCAUUAGCUAGACGGUGGGGUAACGGCCUACCGUGGCAACGAUGAAUAGCAGGCCUGAGAGGGUGGCCUGCCACACUGGGACUGGAACACGGCCCAGACUCCUACGGGAGGCAGCAGUGGGGAAUAUUGCGCAAUGGACGAAAGUCUGACGCAGCGACGCCGCGUGGAGGAUGAAGGUUUUCGGAUCGUAAACUCCUGUCAGGAGGGAAGAAACCUAUCAUGAAUAAUACUCAUGGUAAUUGACGGUACCUCUAGAGGAAGCACCGGCUAAUUCAGUGCCAGCAGCCGCGGUAAU